rnacentral:rRNA from 1 species
CCUACGGGGGGCAGCAGUGGGGAAUAUUGGACAAUGGGGGGAACCCUGAUCCAGCCAUGCCGCGUGUGUGAAGAAGGCCCUCGGGUUGUAAAGCACUUUCAGUGAGGAAGAACGCCUGGUGGUUAAUACCCAUCAGGAAAGACAUCACUCACAGAAGAAGCACCGGCUAACUCCGUGCCAGCAGCCGCGGUAAUACGGAGGGUGCGAGCGUUAAUCGGAAUUACUGGGCGUAAAGCGCGCGUAGGUGGCUUGAUAAGCCGGUUGUGAAAGCCCCGGGCUCAACCUGGGAACGGCAUCCGGACCUGUCAAGCUAGAGUGCAGGAGAGGAAGGUAGAAUUCCCGGUGUAGCGGUGAAAUGCGUAGAGAUCGGCAGGAAUACAGUGGCGAAGGCGGCCUUCUGGACUGACACUGACACUGAGGUGCGAAAGCGUGGGUAGCAAACAGGAUUAGAUACCCGGGUAGUC